GCAAGCGACAAGAGCGUGGAAGGUUACGAUGGAUCCAGAGAGAUAAAAGUUUGACGAGUCAGCCCUUGUUCCAGAAAACCAGUUUCUUGCUCAACACCCGGUAAUGUUUUCCUCGGACUCUCAUUGCCUUUCUUUCUCUUUUUUGUAAGCUGUAUAUCUAAGCAGUUAUAUAUUUUCAAGGUUGGGCUAGAUUCAUGGUUAAUAUUCCCCAAGCCUUUGAUGCAUAGAUGGAGCACAUAGUGCAAUCGUUAUCAGAAACCGUGGCAUGUUUGAAAGAGAGAAUAGCUGUGCUGAUCAGAAUUUAAGCAAGCAAGCAGAAGUUAAGUGGAAAUGUUGAUUAUUUGGAAAAGAAGAGAAAAUAAUGAGAGUGGAAUUAUUAAUGGUCCUCUACUUCUUCAUCAUGUUUUGAAGUUAACAAAUAUUGUUUUCGAAAUGCCUAUUUUGUCAAGUUGCUAAAAUUCAUAUUAAUUUUGGAAAGUAUUUAGUUUCUAGUCAAAACACCAAAAAUGAGUACUUAACCAAAUGACACAUAUAUAGGCGAUUGUUCAUUUGAUACAUAAAAUCUUUUCAGGUUGG